rnacentral:rRNA from 1 species
UGGGGAAUAUUGCACAAUGGGCGAAAGCCUGAUGCAGCAACGCCGCGUGAGUGAUGAAGGCCUUCGGGUUGUAAAGCUCUGUCUUCUGGGACGAUAAUGACGGUACCAGAGGAGGAAGCCACGGCUAACUACGUGCCAGCAGCCGCGGUAAUACGUAGGUGGCAAGCGUUGUCCGGAUUUACUGGGCGUAAAGGAUGCGUAGGCGGAUACUUAAGUCAGAUGCGAAAAUCCCGGGCUUAACUUGGGAACUGCAUUUGAAACUGGGUAUCUAGAGUGCGGGAGAGGAAAGUGGAAUUCCUAGUGUAGCGGUGAAAUGCGUAGAGAUUAGGAAGAACACCAGUGGCGAAGGCGACUUUCUGGACCGUAACUGACGCUGAGGCAUGAAAGCGUGGGGAGCAAACA